AUUCCAUGGUGAGGGCAUUCCUGAAGGAGGUCCUUAAAUUUCUCCGUUGGAGAACGACUCACUAGGUUUCUGUCUGAAUUGAAGAAUGUCACUCCUGAGUUU